CGGGAACUCAAAGGAGACUGCCAGUGAUAAACCGGAGGAAGGUGGGGAUGACGUCAAGUCAUCAUGGCCCUUACGAGUAGGGCUACACACGUGCUACAAUGGCGUAUACAAAGAGAAGCGACCUCGCGAGAGCAAGCGGACCUCAUAAAGUACGUCGUAGUCCGGAUUGGAGUCUGCAACUCGACUCCAUGAAGUCGGAAUCGCUAGUAAUCGUAGAUCAGAAUGCUACGGUGAAUACGUUCCCGGGCCUUGUACACACCGCCCGUCACACCAUGGGAGUGGGUUGCAAAAGAAGUAGGUAGCUUAACCUUCGGGAGGGCGCUUACCACUUUGUGAUUCAUGACUGGGGUGAAGUCGUAACAAGGUAACCA
rnacentral:rRNA from 1 species